GAUGAACGCUGGCGGCGUGCUUAACACAUGCAAGUCGAACGGAAAGGCCCAAGCUUGCUUGGGUACUCGAGUGGCGAACGGGUGAGUAACACGUGGGUGAUCUGCCCUGCACUUCGGGAUUAGCCUGGGAAACUGGGUCUAAUACCGGAUAGGACCACUUCUUGGAUGUUGUGGUGGAAAGUUUUUUCGGUGUGGGAUGAGCUCGCGGCCUAUCAGCUUGUUGGUGGGGUAAUGGCCUACCAAGGCGUCGACGGGUAGCCGGCCUGAGAGGGUGUACGGCCACAUUGGGACUGGGAUACGGCCCAGACUCCUACGGGAGGCAGCAGUGGGGAAUAUUGCACAAUGGGCGCAAGCCUGAUGCAGCGACGCCGCGUGGGGGAUGACGGCCUUCGGGUUGUAAACUCCUUUCGCUAGGGACGAAGCGUUUUGUGACGGUACCUGGAGAAGAAGCACCGGCUAACUACGUG
rnacentral:rRNA from 1 species